rnacentral:sRNA from 1 species
CUUGGUCAUUUAGAGGAAGUAAAAGUCGUAACAAGGUUUCCGUAGGUGAACCUGCGGAAGGAUCAUUCAUAAUAAGUGUUUAUGGCACUUCUUAAAUCCAUAUCCACCUUGUGUGCAAUGUCAGCCGUUUUCUUUAUGAAAGCGGCCAAACAUCAACUUAUUUUUUAACUGUCUGUCUGAAAACUAUUAUGAAUAAACAAUUCAAAUACAACUUUCAACAACGGAUCUCUUGGCUCUCGCAUCGAUGAAGAACGCAGCGAAAUGCGAUACGUAAUGUGAAUUGCAGAAUUCAGUGAAUCAUCGAAUCUUUGAACGCAUAUUGCGCUCUUUGGUAUUCCGAAGAGCAUGCUUGUUUGAGUAUCAGUAAACACCUCAAAGCCUUCAAUUCAGUUUGAAAGCUUUGGACUUGAGCAAUCCCAACAUCAGUCUCGCGACUGACGGAGGGCUGCUUGAAAUGCAGGUGCAGCUGGACAUUCUCCUGAGCUAUAAGCAUAUUUAUUUAGUCCCGUCAAACGGAUUAUUACUUUUGCUGCAGCUAACAUAAAGGGAGUCUGACCGUAUUGGCUGACUGAUGCAGGAUUUCACAAGGGCUGGCAACAGCUUCUUGUAAAACUCGAUCUCAAAUCAAGUAAGACUACCCGCUGAACUUAAGCAUAUCAAUAAGCGGAGGAAAAGAAACUAACAAGGAUUCCCCUAGUAACGGCGAGUGAAGCGGGAUGAGCUCAAAUUUAAAAUCUGGCUGGUUUACUAGUCCGAAUUGUAGUUUAUAGAAGCGUUUUCGGUGGCAGCCUGGGUAUAAAUCCUUUGGAAUAGGGUAUCAUAGAGGGUGAGAAUCCCGUCUUUGACUCAGUGCAUGCUACUAUGUGAUACGUUUUCAAAGAGUCGAGUUGUUUGGGAAU